rnacentral:rRNA from 1 species
GAUGAACGCUGGCGGCGUGCCUAAUACAUGCAAGUCGAGCGAACAGACGAGGAGCUUGCUCCUCUGACGUUAGCGGCGGACGGGUGUGUAACACGUGUAUAAUCUACCUAUAAGACUGGGAUAAUUUCGGGAAACCGGAGCUAAUACCGGAUAAUAUACUGAACCGCAUGGUUCAAUAGUGAAAGACGGCUUUGCUGUCACUAAUAGAUGGAUCCGCGCCGCUUUAGCUAGUUGGUAAGUUCACGGCUUUCCAGGGCGACGAUGCGUAACCGACCUGAUAGGGUGGUCGGCCGCACUAGAACUGGAACACGGACCUGGGGCCUGCGGGAGGCAGCAGUAUGGAAUGUGCCGCAGUGGUCGGGAGCCUUGCAGAGCAGCGCGGCGUGAGUGGUGGAAGUCUUCGGAUCGGAAUACUCUGUUAUUAGGUGAGAACAAAUGUGGAAGUAACUGUGCACUUCUUGACGGUACCUAAUCAGAAAGCCACGGCUAACUACGUG